UUCAGUUCUGGGGACCACAUUUUAAGAAACACAGAUAAGCUGGAAAAUAUUCCAAAGUAAGCAACCAAGACUGUCAAAGGCUUUCUACAGGGCUGAUUGAAGGAAUCAGGAAUAUUUAGUUCAGAGAAGAAACUUAAAGGAAAAACUACUACUGUUUUCAAAUAGUAGAAAGUCUAUCAUGUGGAAAAGGAAGUAGACUUAUUUGACAAAGGGAAAAACUAGUGGCAAUGUGGCAGAGGCAGAAUUAGUCUUAAUGUAAAGGAAACCUUUUUAAGUAAUAGAGCUGUCUGCCAUUGAAAUGGUCUGCCUUAGUAGCUAACAGGUUUUCCUUUAGUUCAAGACGAAGCUGGAUGGUGCCUUGUGGGUUACAAUGCAGGAUCGAUUGUUGGUCAGCUAUGGUAUAAAAGAGGAAAUCCUCAAAGGCUCCUCCCAGCUUUGUUGCUGGCAUAUAUUUAUUGAGUGGAAAAAUCUGAGAAAUGUGCAUCACAAACAUAGUAUCUCCACAAGAAGAAAUACAUCCCUCUACUCCUAAGGUGCCUUGUCCCUCAAGAUUCUGCCCUGGAUCUUCUUCCCUUCUUCCUCUCUACUAUUUCACAUGCAGGAAAAGUGAGAGUCAAAAAGGGAAAAGAAGAAAGAUCAAGCAUUCACAUUCUCAUUCAGCUAAGUUGUAUUGCUGUGAAGUACAGUACCGCAAAAAACAGAACUCAAAUAUCCUUCCAAUCUAUAUUCUUUGGGCUAACUACUACAAUUUGCAAUUAAGUGAAAGUACUGGCAAAAUAAAGACACUAAUUAUAAGAGCAGUUAAUUGUUCAAUAGCAAUAUAAUGCACCAUCCGCUCAUAUCAACAACCUAUUAGUGUACA